rnacentral:rRNA from 1 species
GAUCUUACAGUGGGGAAUGUCUUGGUUCGAGUCAUGAUGAAGAACGUAGAGGAGUGCGAUAAUCAAUUCGAACGGCGUUCGUUAGCGGAACAUUAGCAUUUUGAACGCAUGCGGCGUGCUGAUUAGUCUCAGCAUGA